rnacentral:rRNA from 1 species
GACGAACGCUGGCGGCGUGCUUAACACAUGCAAGUCGAACGAUGACGACCGAGCUUGCUCGGUCUGAUUAGUGGCGAACGGGUGAGUAACACGUAAGCAACCUGCCCUUCACUCUGGGAUAACCUCGGGAAAUCGGGGCUAAUACCGGAUAUGAGCUCCUGUCGCAUGGCGGGUGUUGGAAAGUUUUUCGGUGAAGGAUGGGCUCGCGGCCUAUCAGUUUGUUGGUGAGGUAGUGGCUCACCAAGGCGAUGACGGGUAGCCGGCCUGAGAGGGCGACCGGCCACACUGGGACUGAGACACGGCCCAGACUCCUACGGGAGGCAGCAGUGGGGAAUAUUGCACAAUGGGCGAAAGCCUGAUGCAGCGACGCCGCGUGAGGGAUGACGGCCUUCGGGUUGUAAACCUCUUUCAGCAGGGAAGAAGCGAAAGUGACGGUACCUGCAGAAGAAGCGCCGGCUAACUACGUG